rnacentral:rRNA from 1 species
GGCGCACGGGUGCGUAACACGUGGGUAAUCUACCUCGAAGUCUGGAAUAACUCCCCGAAAGGGGUGCUAAUGCCGGAUGAGACCACGGGAGCUGCGGCUCCCGAGGGAAAAGAUGGCCUCUGCAUGCAAGCUAUCGCUCCGAGAUGAGCCCGCGGCCCAUCAGCUCGUUGGCGGGGUAACGGCCCACCAAGGCUACGACGGGUAGCUGGUCUGAGAGGACGAUCAGCCACACUGGAACUGAGACACGGUCCAGACUCCUACGGGAGGCAGCAGUGGGGAAUCUUGCGCAAUGGGCGAAAGCCUGACGCAGCAACGCCGCGUGUGUGAUGAAGGUCUUCGGAUCGUAAAGCACUGUCGGGAGGGACGAAUAAGGGCCGGGCUAACAUCCCGGUCUGAUGACGGUACCUCCAAAGGAAGCACCGGCUAACUCUGUGCCAGCAGCCGCGGUAAUACAGAGGGUGCAAGCGUUGUUCGGAAUUAUUGGGCGUAAAGCGCGUGUAGGCGGCCAGCCCAGUCGGGUGUGAAA